rnacentral:rRNA from 1 species
AGAGUUUGAUCAUGGCUCAGAACGAACGCUGGCGGCGUGGAUAAGACAUGCAAGUCGAACGAGUUUAGUUUUGUAGCAAUACAAGGCUGAGCUAGUGGCGAACGGGUGCUUAACACGUGAGCAAUCUGCCUUCAAGUGGGGGAUAGCUCGCCGAAAGGCGAAUUAAUACCGCAUGUGGUUGUAAAACCAAAGCCGGGGCAACCUGGCGCUUGUAGAGGAGCUCGCGGCCUAUCAGCUUGUUGGUGAGGUAACGGCUCACCAAGGCUUCGACGGGUAGCUGGUCUGAGAGGACGACCAGCCACACUGGAACUGAGACACGGUCCAGACACCUACGGGUGGCAGCAGUCGAGAAUUUUUCUCAAUGGGGGAAACCCUGAAGGAGCGACGCCGCGUGGAGGAUGAAUGCUUUCGGGUUGUAAACUCCUGUCAUUUGGGAACAAAGCCUUACGUUAACUGCGUGGAGGUUUGAUAGUACCAGAAGAGGAAGAGACGGCUAACUCUGUGCCAGCAGCCGCGGUAAUACAGAGGUCUCAAGCGUUGUUCGGAUUCAUUGGGCGUAAAGGGCGCGUAGGCUGCGGGGUAAGUCGGGUGUGAAAUCUCAGAGCUCAACUCUGAAACUGCACUCGAUACUGCUCUGCUAGAGGACUGGAGAGGAGAUUGGAAUUCACGGUGUAGCAGUGAAAUGCGUAGAUAUCGUGAGGAAGACCAGUGGCGAAGGCGGAUCUCUGGACAGUUCCUGACGCUGAGGCGCGAAGGCCAGGGGAGCAAACGGGAUUAGAUACCCCGGUAGUCCUGGCAGUAAACGGUGCACGUUUGGUGUGCGCGGAUUCGACCCCGUGCGUGCCGGAGCUAACGCGUUAAACGUGCCGCCUGAGGAGUACGGUCGCAAGAUUAAAACUCAAAGAAAUUGACGGGGGCCCGCACAAGCGGGGGAGUAUGUGGCUUAAUUCGAUGCAACGCGAAGAACCUUACCUG